rnacentral:tRNA from 1 species
GCUUCAGUAGCUCAGUAGGAAGAGCGUCAGUCUCAUAAUCUGAAGGUCGAGAGUUCGAACCUCCCCUGGAGCAUAUUUUUAU